rnacentral:rRNA from 1 species
CAGUCGCCACGGUAAUACGUAGGGUGCAAGCGUUAAUCGGAAUUACUGGGCGUAAAGCGUGCGCAGGCGGUUCUAUAAGACAGAUGUGAAAUCCCCGGGCUCAACCUGGGAACUGUAUUUGUGACUGUAGAGCUGGAGUGCGGCAGAGGGGGAUGGAAUUCCGCGUGUAGCAGUGAAAUGCGUAGAUAUGCGGAGGAACACCGAUGGCGAAGGCAAUCCCCUGGGCCUGCACUGACGCUCAUGCACGAAAGCGUGGGGAGCAAACAGGAUUAGAUACCCCGGUAGUCCCUGUCUCUUAUAC